AGGUUCCUUUCAAACAUUACCCCUGAAACGUCUUCCACCUUUUCUGGGUUGAGUGCAUCCAGAAUAAAGGAUCCUACUGAAGAGUAUCUUUCAGAUUUUGAGUUCAGUACUAUUGGAUCUUUAAAUCAAAUCUCGGAGAAAAAGUUUGUAAUUAUUGUCGGAACUAUAAAGAGUUUUGCUUCCGAGGAUUCUUGGUUUUAUAAUGCUUGCAGAAAUUGUAAUCGAGCGAGUGUAA
rnacentral:lncRNA from 1 species